GGCAUAGGCCGGAAUGAGCAGACGGCCCGACUUCAGCUGCAGGCCGUGACCCGGACCGAGAGCAAACGUGGCCCAAUCUACCAGGAAGAAGGAGAGGAAUAGGACUUCGGUGACUGGACUCCAGGUGUCCCCGCCAUCGGUGCUGGAGAUGUAGCAGAGCCGGGUCACGUUCUGCCCCGUCACCAGCUGGUAGGACUCUGACGUGUGGCCAAGAACAGCGAUGAAGAAGAGGAAGAGCGUUCCCGUGAAGUCAUCGAACACUGGACACGGGUUCAUGGACCUGUGGCCCGGAAGGUAGGCGGUGCCCAGAACACUGAUGUUCCCCCACUACCACAAAAUCCAGAGACAGUGGCAGAAAAAAGCAUGCGUAAAAGAAAAAAUAAA